GGAGAGGUGGCCGAGUGGUUGAAGGCGCAGACCUGGAAAGUCUGUUAUGCGGGAACGUAUACGAGGGUUCGAAUCCCUCCCUCUCCG
rnacentral:tRNA from 2 species